rnacentral:rRNA from 1 species
AUCCUGCCGGAGGCCAUUGCUAUCGGAAUCCGAUUUAGCCAUGCUAGUCGCACGGGUUUAGACCCGUGGCGAACAGCUCAGUAACACGUGGCCAAACUGCCCUGUGGACGGGGAUAAUCUCGGGAAACUGAGGCUAAUCCCCGAUAGGGCUUCCAUCCUGGAGUGGAGGAAGUCCAAAAGUUGCGCUGCGGCACCACAGGAUGUGGCUGCGGCCGAUUAGGUAGACGGUGGGGUAACGGCCCACCGUGCCAGUAAUCGGUACGGGUGAUGAGAGUCAGAGCCCGGAGACGGUAUCUGAGACAAGAUACCGGGCCCUACGGGGCGCAGCAGGCGCGAAACCUUUACACUGCACGACAGUGCGAUAGGGGGAUUCCGAGUGCGAGGGCAUACAGUCCUCGCUUUUCUGGACCGUAAGGAGGUCCAAGAAUAAGGGCUGGGCAAGACCGGUGCCAGCCGCCGCGGUAAUACCGGCAGCCCGAGUGAUGGCCGAUAUUAUUGGGCCUAAAGCGUCCGUAGCUGGCCAGACAAGUCCGUUGGGAAAUCCACGCGCUCAACGCGUGGGCGUCCAGCGGAAACUGCCUGGCUUGGGGCCGGAGGACUCGAGGGGUACGUCCGGGGUAGGAGUGAAAUCCCGUAAUCCUGGACGGACCACCGGUGGCGAAAGCGCCUCGAGAGGACGGACCCGACAGUGAGGGACGAAAGCCAGGGUCUCGAACCGGAUUAGAUACCCGGGUAGUCCUGGCCGUAAACGAUGUCUGCUAGGUGUGGCGCAGGCUACGAGCCUGCGCUGUGCCGCAGGGAAGCCGUGAAGCAGACCGCCUGGGAAGUACGUCCGCAAGGAUGAAACUUAAAGGAAUUGGCGGGGGAGCACUACAACCGGAGGAGCCUGCGGUUUAAUUGGACUCAACGCCGGACAUCUCACCGGCACCGACAACAGUAAUGACGGUCAGGUUGAUGACCUUACCCGAGUUGUUGAGAGGAGGUGCAUGGCCGCCGUCAGCUCGUACCGUGAGGCGUCCUGUUAAGUCAGGCAACGAGCGAGACCCGCAUCCCUAGUUGCCAGCAACACCAUUGGUGGUUGGGUACACUAGGGAGACUGCCGCUGCUAAAGCGGAGGAAGGAACGGGCAACGGUAGGUCAGUAUGCCCCGAAUGUGCCGGGCAACACGCGGGCUACAAUGGCUAAGACAAUGGGUCGCUAUCUCGACAGAGAACGCUAAUCUCAAAACUUAGUCGUAGUUCGGAUUGAGGGCUGAAACUCGCCCUCAUGAAGCUGGAUUCGGUAGUAGCCGCCUUUCAGCAGAAGGCGACGAAUACGUCCCUGCUCCUUGUACACACCGCCCGUCA